rnacentral:rRNA from 1 species
UACGUAGGGGGCAAGCGUUGUCCGGAAUUAUUGGGCGUAAGGCGCGCGCAGGCGGUCAUUUAAGUCUGGUGUUUAAUCCUAGGGCUCAACCCUAGGUCGCACUGGAAACUGGGUGACUUGAGUACAGAAGAGGAAAGUGGAAUUCCACGUGUAGCGGUGAAAUGCGUAGAGAUGUGGAGGAACACCAGUGGCGAAGGCGACUUUCUGGGCUGUACUGACGCUGAG